rnacentral:ncRNA from 2 species
CUUAUUACACGCAAAGGUAAUAAGCAAAUUAAAUAAGGGAAACUUUAUUUAAUUUGUAUCGGGAGGAAAUGCACGAUACA